rnacentral:rRNA from 1 species
AUGAGCAACAGGAUUGUUAGAGAUGGCAAGAAUAUCAUUGCCAAGGCCCACGAGAUCAAAAGAGUUCAGAACCUGGAGGUUACCAGAGGUGAUUUAAAUGAGAUAUGGAGGAGGGAGGAGAUCAAGGCUAGACAGAGAUCCAGGGAGAAAGAAAUACUAGAGGAAGAACUCAACACUAGCUAUUUCAAAGCAGUAGCCAAUCAAAAGAGGAGGAAAAAACAAAUUGCUGUAUGGAAACACCCUCAGGCCCUAUUGAAGACACCCAAGACUAUUUGGCGAAAAACCGCGUUAAAUCUAUCUUCUUGGUAG